GACGUAGGGUCCAAGCGUUGUCCGGAUUUACUGGGCGUAAAGAGCGCGUAGGCGGUCCGUUAAGUGUAGAGUGAAAGCUCCGGGCUCAACUCGGAAAUUGCUCUGCAUACUGGCGGACUCGAGGACGGAAGAGGUUUGUGGAAUUCCUGGUGUAGCGGUGAAAUGCGCAGAUAUCAGGAGGGACACCGGUGGCGAAGGCGGAUCUCUGGGCCAUUACUGACGCUGAGGAGCGAAAGCGUGGGGAGCAAACAGG
rnacentral:rRNA from 1 species